AUCCACAUCAUAUUGAAACACUGGGUCCCGUACGAUCGCAAGAGUUAAGCAACGUCGAGCGUGGUUAGUAACUAGAUGGGUGACCACUUGGGGAUACCAGGUGUUGG